GUUGGAAAAUCCCACUUUACUUCAAGUGAAGUCACUGGGUUGUCCCCAUGAAAUAUCUCCACAAUGGGUGUGCUAGACCUUUACUCUCUGUGGCACCACCAAGACCCCCUCACCCUGCCAGAGCCCUCUGAAGUGUACUCAGAAUGGAGGGGCUGGAAGUGGGGCCAGUGGUCCUGGUAGUCAGCCUCCCCUUCUGACACAAGAAUUAUCGUGGAACAGCUUGUGUGACCGAUCAACUGGUCUCUCCAUCUUUAAGCCAUUGUCUUGUUGACUCUGUUACUGCAGAGUUUGGGGAGGUCUCAUGGCUUCUCGCAUCCUAUUUCCUGAGCUUCCCUGAAGCCAACUUCUGGCCACUGGUAUGUGAUGCGAGCACAGUGCCUCCUCCUGCUCCUCCAGGAAGCUUCUGCUGAUUGAACGCAGGCCAGAUGGCGAGAUCCGGAGCAACCUUCUUAGAUCAAGGGAAGAAAGGGGCACAAGAGGGGAGUAGGUAACAAGAUAAAAGGAGCUCCCUCCCUGAUGACUACAGAGCCAUCGUGGCAGCCCUGGGCCUCCAUUUCAGACGUUCAUCUUGCCUAAGCCACCACCAUCAGGGUCUCAGUCAGUCAUCAUUCUCAUUUACUCGGGUGGCUGGGUGAGGGCGGAAUACUACCUUCCAGCUGUCUGAGAUUAAGCCUAAGCCACCACCAUCAGGGUCUCAGUCAGUCAUCAUUCUCAUUUACUCGGGUGGCUGGGCGAGGGCGGAAUACUACCUUCCAGCUGUCUGAGAUUAAGCAGAACAGCAGCUAAAGCAGUAACAGCAGGUCUCCUUCAGCAGCUUGCCACAGGGAAGAGGGUCCCGCGUGAACCGAACUCAACUUCCACCUGCGCAGAGGUAGCUACCAUUUGCGUAGAGGUAGCUGGGUCUUUAAGGUUAGAGGGAAGGCGCAGGGAGGGAGAGACGGCGGGUGGGGGUUGAACAAAGUGGAGAUUCACAAAAGCAGACUAGGGCGGGCGACGUGAUCAGAUGACCUGUGCGGGCGGCAGCCUCCUGCCCUCCUCCCCUUCGUGCGCCGGCUGGAGCGAAGAGUUCUUUUGACAGCCGUGAGCUUCCCCGCCAGGAACUUACUGGGGCUGCAUCACCCUAGAAACGUGGCUUUGGGCUGUGGAAACGCUGCCUCUGUGGAAGUCUCUCCUCGCGGGGGUGGACGGGUCGCUGCGCGCCCAGCGUUCUUCUGCGGUUCUCACAGCCCGCCGCCGCCGCCGCCUCGGGGACCUUUGCGGGGAGGCCUCAGGUCAGCGCCGCCCUUGCGAUGGCGGGAGAGCAGAGCGGCCCCAGGGCCUCUGAGCUCCGGCCCCGGCACGUCCCGCCCUCUCCUCCGCUUGCGGGAGCCGGGGCGCCUCGGAGGGAAACCUUCCGGACACAGGCCGGGAGAAGAGGGGCCGUGGCGCCAUCGCGCAGCUUCCUGGUUUCGGCCAUGUUUUUUUUUUUUUGAGACGGAGUUUCGCUCUUUUUGCCCAGGCUGGAGGGCAAUGGCGCCGUCUCGGCUCCCUGCAGCCGCCGCCUCCCGGGUUGAAGGGACUCUCCGGCCUCAGGCCGCGGUGUUCUUGUAAAUUAGAACCGGCCUAUGCGCCAAGCGCGGGUCUCGCGGCUGCGGAGAGAGGCCCAGCAGGGGGCGGGGACGCCGGGAGGCGGGGCCUGGCCGAGCUGCGCACACCCGGGUGGUUCUGGCUACGGGUACCCGGACCUGCCCAACGACCGUUCUCCAUUCCCGACCUCCGCACCCUACCCGGUCCGCAGGGCACCUUCCUCCUCUCUCUCAGGCACGUCCUCGACCUCAGUUGCCACGUGCACAUGCUGGUGCCUUCCAGGCUGGAGUAUAGUGGCAUGAUCAUAGAUCACUGCAGCCUCAAACUCCUGGGCUCAAGCGAUCCUCCCACCUCAGCCUCCAUAUAGCUGGUGGGGACCAAGUUUCUAACACAUGAAUGUUGGGAGACACAUUCAGACCAUCGCAGUGGCCUUAUAAAAAGAGACACAAGAGCUUGCUCUCUGCCAUGUGAGAAUACCACAAGAAGACUGUCCUCAGCAAAUCAGAAAGCGGGUGGACCCUCAUCAGACACCAGAUGUGCCUGCACCUUGAUCUUGGACUUGCCAGCCUUCAGAACAGUAAGAAAGAAAUGUGUGUUGUUUAAGCCACCCAGUCUAUGGUAACUUGCUAUAGCAGCCCACUAGGAGACCCCAAGAUAUUUAAAAACUCAUCAGCACCUGCUUUCUGCAUCUGGACCCUGAUCUUCUGGUGGGUUUACCAGUUACUUGUAGAGUGUCCCUGUGAUAGUUUUAGGUGUCAACUUGACAGGAUUGAGGGAUGCCUAGAUGGCUGGGGAAGCACUGUUUCUGAGAAGGACCAUGUUUUUGGAGGAGACUGUUUUAUGAGUGAAUUUCAGGGGACACAUUCAGAUCAUGGCAGUGGCAUUAUAAAGAGAGACACAAAAGCUUGCUCUCUCUCUCUGCCAUGUAAGACUACCACACAAAGACUGCCAUCUGCAAACCAGAAGCAGGUGGGCUUUCCUCAGACACCAGAUCUGCCUGCACCUUGAUCUUGGACUUGCCAGCCUUCAGAACUCUAAGAAAGAAAUGGUAGCAUGGCUUGGUCUAAGUUGGAAGGCCUGAGAAACAAGCACAUGGUGGAACUGAGUUCAAGGAUAAAGACUUGAGAAUACCUGCUCAGUGGACUGAGUAGGGAAGAUCAACCCUCAAUGUAGGCAGGCACUAUCCAAUCACCUGAGGGCCCAGAUGGAACAAAAAGGUGGAAGAAGGGUGAAUUCUCUCUUCCAGAGCUGUGACACCCUUCUCAUGCCCUUGUACCACACAACUCUAGGUCCUUUGGCCUUUGGACUCUGACACUUGCACCAGUGGCCCUCUGGGGCUCUCAAGCCUUUAGCCUUGAACUUAGUUACACCAUGUGCCUCCUUGUUUCUCAGGCCUUCCAACUUGGAUCAGGCCAUGCCACCGGCUUCUCUGAUUCUCCAGCUUGCAGAUGGUAUAUUGUGACCCUGGCAUUUAAUAACUAUGACUUUGGUCUUAAGCAAUUUUCUUCCUCUGUGGAUUGAUAUUUACAUAUCAAUGUGGAUAAUAAUUUCUUACCACGGUAACUGUUGUGAGGUAAAAAUGAGUUAACAUAAGUAAAACCGAGCACAUGCAAACCAUCCGAAAUGGUUAAUACUUACUAUUUGUACUUGAAGAAAUAAAUGUUUUUGACAAUAAACUUCUUGUGCAGUUUUCCUC
rnacentral:lncRNA from 1 species